CAUAUUUUUCCAUACACUUGACACCCCUUCCCUUCUAGACAACGAAAAAAGCAAAAACGACGCACCUUCCCUUUCGUUCUCCUUCUUCUUCAUUUCUAAAAACCACAGAUAAAGAGAAUAAAAUCCCCCCCCCCUUCCAAAAAAACCUUAGCCACCCAUCUCUAACAUCAAACAAAAAAUCAGAAAAAGAAAUCAGAAGCACACACAAAAUUGUUGAAACAAGAGAAAUGAGAAAACUGGAAUUCUCAAUGGGAUUUGAAGGGGACUUAUUUCGAAAUUUUCCUUUCUUUCUGGGUUUCUAAAGGUUGAGCCAUGUUUUUAGCCAAUUUUCGACUGCUAGAUCCAGGUGUUGGAGGUAGUGAACCCAGUCAGUGAGAGCUUCUUUGAUCGCGUCGUCGCAGUCCCUUGGAGUCCUUUCUUUAUAAUUAUACUGUCAGUUCACUACAGUAUUGCAUUUGAGAUAUUUCUAUGUAUUCAGUUAGAGCUCGUGACUGUAUACUACCUAGUUCUGGGGAUAUGUUGUGAUUAUCGUCGUGCUGGCUUGUAUCACCAUUAUUUCUACAUUUAUAUUAAACUCUGCUUUAUUAUAUCAUAUUUUUAUUGGUUUAA